AGUGAACGCUGGCGGUAGGCCUAACACAUGCAAGUCGAACGGCAGCACAGGAGAGCUUGCUCUCUGGGUGGCGAGUGGCGGACGGGUGAGGAAUACAUCGGAAUCUGCUCAGUCGUGGGGGAUAACGUAGGGAAACUUACGCUAAUACCGCAUACGACCUUCGGGGGAAAGAGGGGGAUCGCAAGACCUCUCGCGAUUGGAUGAGCCGAUGUCGGAUUAGCUAGUUGGCGGGGUAAUGGCCCACCAAGGCGACGAUCCGUAGCUGGUCUGAGAGGAUGAUCGGCCACACUGGAACUGAGACACGGUCCAGACUCCUACGGGAGGCAGCAGUAGGGAAUAUUGGACAAUGGGCGCAAGCCUGAUCCAGCCAUACCGCGUGGGUGAAGAAGGCCUUCGGGUUGUAAAGCCCUUUUGUUGGGAAAGAAAUCUUUCAGGCUAAUACCCUGGGAGGAUGACGGUACCCAAAGAAUAAGCACCGGCUAACUUCGUG
rnacentral:rRNA from 1 species